rnacentral:rRNA from 1 species
UACGUAGGAGACGAGCGUUGUCCGGAGUUACUGGGCGUAAAGGGUGCGCAGGUGGCGGCGCGCGUGGGGGGGUGAAAUCGCCCGGCUUAACUGGGCGGGGGCCUUCCAGACGGCGUGGCUUGAGCAGCGGAGGGGGACGUGGAAUUCCGGGUGGAGUGGUGAAAUGCGUAGAGAUCCGGAGGAACACCAAAGGCGAAGGCAGUGUCCUGGGGAGUACCUGACGCUCAGGUGCGAAAGCCAGGGGAGCGAACGGGG